rnacentral:rRNA from 1 species
UGACCUCAAAUCAGGUAAGACUACCCGCUGAACUUAAGCAUAUCAAUAAGCGGAGGA